UGUGAUCCGCCCGCCUCGGCCUCCCGGAGUGCUGGGAUUACAGGCAUGAGCCACUGCACCUGGCCAGGGCCAUGUUUUCUGGCCCAACCCUAUAGCCUGGGUUUCUAGAUCAUCAACAGGCUGCAAAGGUUUGAAAUUGAGUACCAGGGGGACCCGGAGCUGCAGCCCCUCUGGAGUUAUGAGAUUACCAGCUUGGUCUGAGCAUCCUUCCGGCUGUCAUCUGCCAUCAAACACAGAUUUGCAGACCAGAUGGCGGCUCUGUGUUCCUGAGAUGACUUCCUUGCCAGCUUCUGUUGCUACCACCUCACAGAGCCCACGCUGGCCAGCGGCCACAGGCUCAACCUGCACUUCCUAGGCAGCUACCUGACACUGCCCUGGCUACUGCUGGCUUUCUUCAUGGCCUCUCUGUUCUGCAUCAGGCCCCUCACCUGUGCACUGCUGUUCACCCUGGGCUACGCCCUCUACUCCUUGGCCAUGAUGUUGCUGACCAGGUGGGGAAGCUGCACCAGCCCUGAUGGCAUUGGAGGUGGGAGGCCACUCCAGGAGCCCUAUUGAUGUGGCAGGAAGAUGUGGGGAAGAGGAGCUAGAACAGGCUGGGAUUGGGUAUGUUCCCUUCCUCCCUUGGGUUGGGUAUGUUGGCAUCUGGUA
rnacentral:lncRNA from 1 species